ensembl:lncRNA
UAAAGGCUAAAGAAUUUCAAGUUUAUUCUGAAAGCUUUUCCACUGUUCUUUUUUUUUUAAAGAAAAAUUUAGUUUUGUUCUUUCAUAAAUGAUCCAUUACUCACAGUAUCUGCCUCUUUUGGAGUUACAUGGAACAAGAGAAGUCACAGGUACUCACAGUCACUGUAAUAUACUUCAAGCUUUAAGUUUAUGAAAAUAUAUUAUGUAGGUACUCUACAUAAUGUGUGAUGGAUUACAAUGCAUUGAAAAUUAUUCAGCAAUGUAACAUAUGCACUAGAGGGAUUUGAGUUAAAUGAUUAAAUUUUCAUAAACAAGAAGACACUGAAAACAGAAAUGAUACUUAAAGCGUUAUAUAAUUCUUAGCUUUAAAGGUCAAGUGAAGGUAUAAUUAAUUGAGGGAAAUUCUUACAUGCUUUAUUAAAUUUAUUUUAAAUGAAAAUUGCCUCUGAAUCCAUCUGGAAGACAGUAUCGUCUAUUUGGAAGAUGUUUAUCAUACUGAUAAAUGAAAAACUCAAAUUCAGACACCGAAUCAAACUAUGGGUGCUAACAUCUAUGCCUUUAUAGAGUAUUUAUGGCACCACUUUAUUCCUCAUGAGUGACACGCUGCCAGUUGAGUUUUUACUCUUGGAUUUAACUAGGAGUUCUGGAGACAAGACAUAUUCCGUAACAGGCCUGAGAACUCCUGGGGCUUACUUUUCUAUAUCCUCACCCAUGGCUUCAUCCUCACUCCAAUUAUUUCAACACAAUGCUGACAUUUGUCUACUAUUAUUUUCGGGUUACCCCUCCCAGGCUUUUGCCCUUUUAUCCUCCAGGCUGAAAUGUCCUUUUCGUAAGUUGUCCUGUGUCAUAUACAGAAAGUCUCUCUUCAGUGAGACACUCUUCUCCCCACAGUUUCUCCAUAUGGGCAGUUCUGAAACAUGAGAGCGUCCUAUCUGUCAUCUUAUCAACUUACUUCAUCAUCUGUCUUCUCUAUUUUAAUGAGAAAGUAUUAUAUGAUGCAAAUAGUUGCAUAAAAUACUAAAGAAAAAUUUUUUUCUGACACAUGUUAAAAUGGUAAAGAACAUUUCAUUCAGAACUAUUGCAACAGGUGUCAGUAAAGCAGAGGAGAGAGAUGGAGCUCAAUUCCAAAUACAAGAAGAACNAAGUGGGGACUUAUAGCCAAUGAACAGAAGAAAGAGGAUCAACGAAGGGAAAACCAGUAAGAGGAGAUGCCAAGUGCAGGGGAAUUCUUGCUAAACCCACUAAACGGGAUCCUUGUCGAAGGCCAGCCAGAGUGAUCAAGGCUGCGAAACGAAGAAUCAGAUCAGAAAUCAAGGGCAAUCAGAUAUCAAAGGUGAGGUCACUAAACUGACCAGGAUUCUUGCUAAAACGGGGAUAAGCAGGCUGAACAGAGGCCCAAAGACAAGGGCUAGUUGACCAGGCUCAGAGGAGACUGACCAAAGUUUGGUCAAGGAGAGAGUCUUUGUCAGCAACCUAUAGCUAGUCUUCCUUUUUAGAGGAAAUAUGAGUUAUCUCACCUUCUCCUCUUUCUCCCCCGCCCCCAGUCCACAGGCUCAUCAAAGGGAUAUGUCAGCUAAAUAAUCAAUGCCUUCUCUGGAAACUCUUCUUCAACUGCGGCAAAAUAAAGUUAGGAACAGUAAACGUAUGCCAUCUUACCCUGGAUUCUGGUGAAAAUUUCCCAACCCAAUCUUUGCAUAUUCAUCUUGAAGCAUUUGUUUUCCACUUAAAAAAUAUAAUAUUCUUUUCCAAAAUGUGUGUAAAAGGUUUUGUGACUCAAAACACUCAUCUUACUCCUUCCAUGCUGUCAAAUUUUAAUUCUUCUCCCAUUUCACUAUUCUUUUUGAACUCUUUCCAGGUUCUCUGACACAUACAUACAUAUCUGAACUACUCAGAUGUGUCUGAGAUUCACUGCUGACCCUUUUUUUAUCUUCACUAUUACCACAGACACAUGUUAUGUCUUUGAGAGGAGAGGCUUUUGGCACGAAAUCCCGUAAAGAAUUACACUGACGUCCCAUCUUUAUUUAUCACGAUAUUUUAAGUUCUUUCCUCAUUCCCCUUCCUAAACCUGCGACUAGUACUUUAAGCAUAAUAUAUUUGCCUUUUCCCUAGCAGUUUAUUUUUCGAAACGUCUACUUUUGCAUAAUUAGAAGAAAAAAAUCUUGACUCGCUUGACCAACAGUACAUUCCUUCUGCAAAAUCAGAAAAAUUAUCCUAAACUUCCUUCAUAUUUUUACUUAUUUCUCCAAAGUUCAACACAUAGCCUGCCAUUUUCUGGCUUGUUGUGAAAUAUACCAUUGCUUGACCUCUGACAUUCUUGUCAACCUGUGUAGUCGUGCUUUUGUAAAAAUUUCCUAAAUCAAUUCUGAAUAAUGUCAGAGGCUGCGUCCGGAUGGCCUCCCGCUCCUCCUGCAAAUGCCACAGUUAACACGCUGUGUAUUUUGUGUCACUGUGCUGGUCAUUUCAUCCUCUCAUACAUCCCUAAAUUAGCAGGGAAAUUUUUUUUUCCCAAAAAGUCCUAAAAGUCUUUGUUCACAAGCAAGGUCAUUAGAUGAAGAUGCAUUUACUCCCUAAGAGCUUGAGUUAACCUUCAAUUCUUCUCUGUCUACUAAAAAAAGAUAUUUCUUUGUGUGUGUGUGUGUGUGGGUGUGUGUGUGUGUCUUUUGCCUCUUUAGGGCCGUACCCACAGCACAUGGAGGUUCCCAGGCGAGGGGCUGAAUCAAAGCUACAGCUGCCGGCCUACACCAUAGUCAGAGCAACACCCAAUCCGAGCCGCAUCUGUGACCUACACCACAGCUCAAGGCAAGGCCGGAUCCUUAACCCACUGAGCGAGACCAGGGAUCAAACCCGCAACCUCACGGUUCCUAGUCGGAUGCAUUUCGGCUGAGCCAGGACAGCAACUCCCCGAAAAGGUGCUUCUUUAUUUCUCGCAGCUUAACAGUCACCCACAUAAUUCCUCCUUCGUCUAACCUUCCUUCGCAGGCAACCAUCCUGAAAAAGUAGUUGUUUUCUGUUCCAUGUCCAUUACUGCAGUUGGCUGUGCACCGCGCAAAUCAUCCCAAUGGAAACAACAAAACAUAUGAAGUAAAAUUUUAAAUUCUUGGAGUUCCUGCCAUGGCAUAGGGGGUUAGGAAUCCACUCAGGUCACUGCGGAGGUGCAAGUUCAAUCCCCAGCCUGGCGCAGUGAGCUAAAGGGGCUGGCAUUGCCUCGACUCGGGCUCAGAUUCAGUCCUUGGCCUAGGAACGUCCCUAUACCCCAGGUGUGGCCAUUAAAUUAAAAAAAAAAACUAAAUUCUUAUCAUAUGUGAGAUCUGGGUGAAGCUCUCACAUGAUCUUCCAUGAAGACAGGGACACAGAGAGAUAAGCAAAGUGUUAACGUCAGCUUUCACCUUAAGAAAAUUCAGUAUGCACGAAUCCCCCUGCUUGCUGAGUAACUUCUACAAGUAUCUGCAGAGUUGCUCUUGAUCAGGGCUGGAUAUUUGGUUGUAAUCCGGACCUUCUCUGAUCACAAUCACAAGCCUUCCCACGGCCUCUGGUCCUGAAACCCCACGUGUGCAGCUUUCUAUUCCAACAGCAGGUUUUCCAUUGCAUUUACUGCUUUAGGACUUUUGAAUAAUUCCCAGCUGCUUUCGCCACACCAUCUAGGAGAGGCAUAGGAAUCUGCGAAGUUGGGUCUAGUCUCCUUUCCCAACAGUUACUACUCUACCAAUCCCACAGCGUUUGAACUUGGUACAACGCUAAACAUGAGAAUUUUCUGAGACGCUUCCAGGAGGAAGGAAGGCAUGGAGGGAGGGAGGGAGGAAAAUGAAAGGAGAGAUUGCUCACGGUUUUAGAUUGUCCCAAACCUAUCUGGAGCCUCGGAGCCAUGCUGUACCUCAGGUUUAGAUUCCACGAGAGGAAUACGAGAACUGCAUCUUAAAAAUUCUCUUCCUUGUUCUCUCCCUUCUGAUGUUGUCCAUCUCGUCCUCAUCUUCGCGUUCUCUUCUGCACACCUCGCCGUGUGUUUAAACUGAACACUGAGUUUCUUUCUGCUGUGAGUGUCUCUGAAACAUUCCCUGUUCAGACUGGAAGUAGCCAAUCCUACAAGUCAACAUUCACUCAUUUAUCAAAUAUAUGUUAAGCAUCUACCAUCAGGCUUCAGACUAUUCUAGAACCUUAGAACUGAGAAAUAAAUGAAAUAGACAAGAUCAUUCCCCUAACACAGCUUACUUGCUAGACAGUGAAGACAGAUAAUACACAAUUUUAAAACAAUAUAAAUUAGAAAACAGCACGGAUUUUAAGUGCUCUGCACAUAUUUAAACCAAGGUGGGGCGUUUCCAUUGUAGCGCAGCGGAAAUGAAUCUGACUAGGAACCACAAGGUUGUGCGUUCGAUUCCUGUCCUCACUCAAUGAGUUAAGGAUCCCGAGUUGCCGUGAGCUGUGGUGUAGGUCACAGACGCAGCUCAGAUCCUGCGUUGCUGGUGUAGGCUGGCAGCUACAGCUCCGAUUAGACCCCUAGCCUGAGAACCUCCAUACGCCGCAGGUGUGGCCCUAAAAAAAAAAAAAAAAAAAAAAAAAAAAAA